GGGGCGAGGAGAGCCAGGACGAACCCUCUCCCGUAAACCUAGCGCCCCAGGCCCAAUCCACUCCGUCCUCGAGCCCCACGCCAUUCUUCUUCCCUCUCCACGCCGUCCGGCCUCCCCUGCUCCACGACCCUCCGCCUCAGGGCCUCCCGCGCCGCCGCCUUCUCUUCCGGGCCUCUUCUCCGACGCUCGAGGUGCAGCCGGGGCGACCUCCUCCUCCUCUUCCUCUCCUCCUUUCCUGGAGGGGAGCCGACCUACAGGUAAAGGGCGACGGCGGCGGCGCUCGAGCAGAUGAGAGGGAGAGAGAGGUAGGUGCAGCGAGGCGACGGACGGGAGAGGGGCGAGGGCGAGCUCCAGCGCGAGCGCGCGGACCCGUCACCCACGCCGGCAAGGUCCUCGGCCCCAAGCUGCGCCUCUACCACCGCGAAGGCGACUGCUGCGACCACGCUCGGUUUUGUUCAGUGCGCACACACACUGUGCCGUCUCCAGGUGCCAGUUGAAGUUACUAUCGGGCUUUAUUGCCCUCCUCUGAUUUGGUGUUGUAGGAGAAAGAAGAAGACCAGGCAUGUUCUUUGUCUCUACAUCCAACGUCCACACGGCUAGAUCGACGGGUCUAAACUCUUGAUGUAGCACAUUGUGUGUAUGAAUCAUGGUGAAUGUCAAGCCUACUUAGGUCAUACCCAAGUAAGGUGAGUAUAGAUGUAUAGUACUUAGGUCAAGCCUACUUAUGUUUUUCUAUAGUUAAAGUGCAUGUGUGUUGCUGUGAUGUAUAUAAGUGAAAGGGAACAAAAAAGAAUGGGAGAAGGGAGCUUCUUGCUUUCCUUUUUCCCUUUUGUUUCUGUUUGAUAAUUACUCAUCGAUCCUGAUGCUUGAGUAUUUUCUAACCUCCCCUGUUUUAUUCUUUUGGUGCUACUUGGACAUUUCUAAUGUCUGUUUUUUUGUUUUCUUUCUGAAUACAGAAAGAAUAAGCUACUAGCAUUCCUAAUGUGCAAGUAAACCUACUGGGAUUACGACUGGAAAAAAAUCAUGACAUGCGAGCAAUUCUCAAUUUAGAUACUGUGAGCUUAAAUAACAAGAGCUAAACUGUCGUGCCAUGUUCAGAAUUGGUAAUAGAAAAGAUAAUCUAAACGCACAUUAUGAAACUAUCUAGACUCCUGCCUUUGGGGAAUUAGGUUGCUAAGUAUUAUUUUGUAAAUAAAUGACAUGCUAACUUGCUGGUUCAGUUUAAAGCUAUAGGCAGGGGCUUGCGGUAGGGGGGGGGGGUAUCAUUGUGGCAGUUGAAAACCAAAACGUUUAUUCAUGAGUGUAUGAUCUGGACAGCGCUUUUCUGAAAGUAUGUUACGAUCCUGCUCUUGGGAGAUUAAGCUGUUGUGGUAUUGCUUGGUAAAUAAUUGGCAUGCUAAAACGUUGGUUGUUGUUUCCGUGGUGGGGACCAAUAAUAGAAAGAAGGUGCUUCCUUAGAUGGUUGGUUAGGUCGUGGGUGCAGCAAGGAAAGGGCCACCUGAUGACGGUUCUGGACUUGAGGUCUAACAAAAAGUAUUGGUCAGUGUAGUGUUUUCUGGUUUCUUGAUCAGUGUGUCAGAGGCCAUGAAUUAUUUUCAUGUUUGCAAAGUUUUUUUGGGAUUGUAUUUGUAAAGUAUACCCCGGUUGAGAGGCUAGGAGGGAUAUUGCUGAACAAAUAUAUCUGACUUCUUGAAUGUCUGUACAGUUAGUCAGAGAUGAAAUGACAAGCAGCUCUCCUGCGUCGUUCGAGAAGAAAAGAAAACAAAAUACGAGGAUUAUAUAAUCCCACUUUAUGCUUACCGUUAGUCCGAGAUUAAGUGAUUAUUUGUGCCGCGGUCGCUACAACAAAUCAUCUAAAAUAAGCUACUAGCGUUUUUUUUAAUCCAAGCUUUCUUGCUUAGAAUUAGAUAAUAUACGCCUGCUUCAUACAUAUUAUUCUUUCUGAGAGGGGCAUGAUCAUCAUGAAAUCAACAAAUUAUAUACGUAUGUGUGAAUCGUUUCUAGACACAAAGAGGAACAUUCCACUGUAUAAAUCGUUCUAGAGCUAUUAGCUGUAGUCCAUUGUAAGGUACAACCUUAGUUUUAAACAUCAUACUAACAGAUAUGUAUUGGAAUUUUAAUGUUUCAACUUCUUUGAACCAUCUAUUUUCUUGCACUAGAAUAUUGCAAUGGAGUUUUCAGUUUCUAAAUGGAUUUCCAGAUCUGAGACAGAAUAGAAGAGAAAAAAAUUCCUAUGGAAGAGUUUGACGAGAACAAGAAUUUUGCAAUGGGGAAUUUAUCCACAAAGCUUGUCUUGUCAUGUGUAGGCUACGCGACUAUACACCAGCAUGGCCAGUUAUAAGGGCACCCUGGAUGGACACACUGAAGAUCCCUCUUGCUGUGUGGAACACGCCACGCUUGACGACGUCUCCGUCUGGGAGUGGUCUGGUUCUGCCUAUGAUGAAGGAGCUGAAGCAGCUGAAUGGCUCUCCACCUAUUUCGGGAAGCCAUGUCGGCUCGUGUGUUUUAAAGAAGGUGUACGCCUUGCUAUGUUCUUCCAAAACAAAAUAUACCUUGGAUACCUGUCAAAAAGUAUUUAGAAAAUGUUUUCUCAAUGAGAUCGUCUCUGGUACUUAUGGAGAAAGUCUCCUUUCCAUGCUUUUCAUAGAGUCCGAAAUUAGGCCGACUAAUCCUGAGUAUGCUCAAGGCUGCUCACCUUCACGGAUUGCUUCCCGUUCCUGAUAGCAUCCCAGGGCUCAUUGAAUGCACUAAAUGAGGUUCUUAAAGAACCUGUACCAAUCAAUCGCUCCAGACCAAAUAUUUUAGUUGAUGGAUGCCACCCGCAUGGAUAGGAUAUGUGGAAACCCAUAAAGAUAAACAAGCUAUCAUUUGACAGGGUGAAGUUAUGCGACCGUUGCAAGUUAGCCGCAAUGGAAAAAGUCAGGAUCUCAACAAAGAACCUUCUGGACGAUAUGAUGCAGCAGCUUGGCCUUCCAAACGCAGCGUACUCAACAUAGAAGGCAAGGACGGUUGGUCAACCAUUCACUAUCCAUCAAAGCACCAACUGGACAACCGACUUCCAAGGAUAUCAAUAUCCAUUUACGUGUACGGUAAACUCAAAGAAGCUUAAGAUCGACCGGCAACUAAAGCUCUCAAGUAGUCCAAGUGAAGUGAAGGAACUUUAUCGCAUAAUAAAUACAAACUCCACAGCAAGAUCAACACCCAAAGCCAACAAUCUGAAACAUAUUUCGUCACAGAUAAGAUAUGUUGCUGAUCGUCUUAACGAUAUAAGUUUACAAUCAGAAACCGUUAUAUAGAAAACAAACAAGUAUUAUUGAAGCAUGAAUGAUGAUAUUGAAGGAAUUUCUGCUCUGAGCAAUGCAGGCCAUGAAGAACAACAUCUAUGAAGACUUGCCUCAAAGAAAUUGUUCUAAACAUCCAACGAUACAUCUGUCAAAUGUAGCUUAGCUCUGCCUAUCUACAUGCCUUGCUCAUAACAUUGUAAAUGAUUGUUUGUAAGCUUCUUAGAAAACAUGUAUCAUCAGCAACCAUCUAUCUAUCAUCAAUUCGUACUUAUUUUCAUA